rnacentral:lncRNA from 1 species
GUAGAAACAUCGAUGAGCUGUCUGAAUUUCUAUCUGUUCACCAGGCUUGGCAGCACAAGUCAAGUUGGCAGGUGUCGGGUAAGAUGGGAGGACAGAGUGAGGGACUAGUGCGAUGGGAUUGAGGCCACUCUGAGUGGGAGUAUCUCUUACAUGUAGCAUCAUAGGCUCCUUUGGGACCUGCUCAAGAAAUGUUGGUUGUCCAGUCUUCCUUUCUGAGUUCAGAUUGACAAAUACUUCUCGAGGGCCCACCAGUGCCAAGUGCAGUAAUGGACUUUAGAGAUUAGUGCUGAUACCCCCUGGGUUCCAGUUCCAAUCCCACCCUAGUCACAGAGCUCACCUUCCUUCUUCUGGGUCCCUCUGUGUUGGGAGGACACAGGGUCUUAGGGUCACUUAUUAGCUGCUGGGUGGCCUGGGGUAAGUAGAUGCACUUCUCUGAAUCUUGCUUCCCUCAGUUGCAAAAAAAGGACACUUAGACUCAUGCCUCAUAGAGUUCAGAGGAUUGAGCAUCACAGCCUGAUUUUGCUUUGCUAAAAAGACCAGAUAGAGAAAUUAUAGAGGGGAAAGUGAUGACCAGCCACAAGUUGCCUUUAAUAUCAUCAAUUCUGCUUUUCAUAAAAUUUAUAUCACCCUCCACUAAAAUCAUCUGACAUUAGAUUACAAACUCUGUGUAUCCUUAGCCCUGACCUUCCUUGGUCAAAUGAAUUAUAAAAAGGGCAUUUUUUUUCCCUCCAGGUGGGUGUAGCCAGCAUCCAGAUGUUCUGCUUGGUUGAAGAACAAACUGGAUACCAACUGCUCUUCAGCUGGGCACCUUUGUAUUGUGCACAACCCGCACAACCAUCUAUGGUGACUCCACUAACACCUCACACGGUGCUUGGCCCAGCAUACAUACUUGGUGAUUUUUAGGCUAUUUAGCUGGACUGUGUUUCCCAGCAGUCCUUGCAGGUAGGAGUGGACAUUUGACUAUAUUCUGGUCUAAAUAGAAGAAUGAAAUGUUUUGUAUGUUUUGUGAAACUGCUUUUCUGUUUUUUUUUUGUUUGUUUGUUUGUUUGUUUUUUUUGUUACACCUGUGGCAUAGGAAAGUUCCCAGGCCAGAAACUGUAUCUAAGCUGCUGCAGUCAGAUUCUUAACUCACUGUGCCAUAGUGAGAACUCCUCUUUAGUGCUUUCAAAAGGAAAUUGCCGGCCCUUUCCUUCCUCCUUCCCAUUUCAGGCAGGCUGAAGCCUGGACUUGGGGUUAUACUGAGCCAACUUUGUACCGGCUCUUAACAGCAAGCCUUUAGGGCAUGUCAUACAACAAGAUGAAAAGAGGCUGAGUUACUGGACCACCUUGAGGAAGAGAGCCUUUUGAAUCACUCCGAUGUGAGAGGAAUAAACUGCCUGCCAUGUCCUGGCCAUUAUUAUUUUGGACACUUUUUUUUUUGUCUUUUCUAGGGCCGCACCUGUGGCAUAUGGAGGUUCCCAGGCUAGGGGUCUAAUUAGAGCUGUAGCCGCAGGUCUACGCCAGAGCCAAAGCAACUCAGGAUCCGAGCUGCGUCUGCAAUCUACCACCCACAGCUCAGGGCAACUCCAGAUCCUUAACCCACUAAGAAAGGCCAAGGAUCAAACCCGCAACCUCAUGGUUCCUAGUCGGAUUUGUUAACCACUGAACCACUACGGGAACUCCAGGACACUUUCUUUUCAAAUUUUUUUUCUUUUUUUCUUUUUUCUUUUGCCUCCCCUGCAGCAUUUGGAAGUUUCCGGGCCAGGGAUCAAAUCUGAGCUGACUGCACCAGGGUGGGAUCUAACAGGUGCCUCCACAGCGACAAGCUAGAUCAUUAGCCCACUGAGCCACAGUAGGAACUCCCUAUUUUGGACACUUUCAAAGUAGUCAAACCAAUCUUCUAAUUUCUAUAAUAACAUCUUUGGAAUCAAGGUAAUUUUUGUUAAAUCUUUUUUUUUUUCUUUCUGUGGAUUUAUGCUCAGAUGGUUUCAAAUGAACAACUCUGAGGGCUUGAAGAUACACAAGGCAACAUCCUUUACCUUGGUGAGUUCACAGUAGCAUGGAAGCAUUUGUAACAUGCAUAAAUGGUGAAUGUAAACAACAAUAGAACAAUAGAAACCAGAGAUUCAAGUAGAAUUUUGUGGGGAGCAAAGGAGGGCUCAGGGAAGACUGAGCAGAGAUAGAAUGGGCAUGAAUUAGAAAAACCACUUGCCAGCAUAGGGAAGUAAUAUAAUUUCUUAUGCUAUUUUAUAUAUUUUAUGUAAUAUCUUUUGUGCCUUGAUAAUAUGGAGUUAAUGUCAAAACCUUUUUAUUUUGAAAUGAUCCUAGAGUAACAGAAUAAUUCAAAGGAGUACAGAGAAUACCUCUAUACUCUUCACCCAGCUAGCCCUAAAUGCUAACCUAUGAUACAAUGAAAUUAACUACAAUUUAGUCCAAUACUAUUAAACUCCAGAUUUCACCAGUUUUUCCUCAAAAAAAAAUUUUUUUUUUUUUUUUCAGUUCUGGGAUCCAAAGCAGGAUCCAGAAUCACACUUAAUCUUGAGCUUCUCAGAUCCUUCUGGGCCAAAUUUAGAGCACAGGCCAUUCACAGACCAUUCUCCAGUCCAUCUGAGGUUAAGAACAUUGAAAUGAGAGCCUCAAAGUGCCAGUUCCAGGACUGGAUCAGUCAUUAAUGAAAAGCUAGGCCUGUCCAGUGGAUGGUUGUGGGGAUCAAACUUGAAAGCACUCUGCAAAUGAUGGAGAACUCUCCUUUAGUGAGAUCAUUUAUUCAUUCAUCAAUCACCCAGAAAACCUUUCUUGAGUGCCAGCCACAUCUGAGACACUGGGUUAGGCACAGGCCCACAUAGCUCAUGCUUCUCAGACCUAGCAGGUCUGGUCUUGCAAAGCCGACCAUUAAGUAUUUAUCAAAUACCUACCAGGGCCUAUGACACUAAUGAUGGGCUUACCAUCAGAGUGUAUGCCAUGAAUAUUCCAUUUUGGGCCAGAGAGAGUUAACGUGCUGUCUCUGCCUCCCUGAUGCCUGGAGAGCCCACAUCACUCAGUGAAGACUACGGAUGCAUUAGGCUCAAUGUAUGUAUUUUCUUUUCCUCUCUGUUUAUGUCUCUGUUUUCUGUAAAGUCUCCUAAACUGCAGCAGUAUCUACCAAGUUCUCUGACAGUGCUAUAAAUUUCAUUAAGAAGAUGAAGCCUUAUGGGGCAAUUAACUCCAAAAGUGGUACAGAGCAAUAGCAGGAGAUACUGGCCUGUAGUACUUAGCACUUAGCUCUGAAAUUGAGAUAAGCCCUAUCAACUCGGGGUUGUGUUUAAUGUUCACUGCCGCUUCCACACCACAGCUACAACCCAGCGGUCACUGUGUUAACACUCCCCAAUAUCUAUUACAAUUAGUUUUUGAUUAAGAGGCCUAACAUGGCUUUUGAAGCCUUUUAUGUUGUGUCAAAUGGCUAGUGAUGGAGUGAGAUGGUCGGACACCUCCCAGUAACAAAGCAUCUUGUAAAAGGUUUCAAGUGAACUAUUUUAUCAUCCUAAUGGAAACCAGAUGACUCUAACUCCCCCCUUAAUUUCAACUAUUUACUGAAGAGUCCUUGUUUUGAAUUACUUAAAGAUUUAUUCUUAAACGACGACCUCAUGCAUCAAGAAUUGCUAAUAACAGAGCCAUUUGGAAUUUGGGAAAGCUUUUAAAGAUGACGGAGGCGAUUUUCACAGAGGGUUUAUUUUAUUUUAUUAUUUCUUUUGAUUUUUAAAGGAGCAAAUGCCUUUGCCCUUUUCUGGUAUUUAAUUAUUACUUUAAUGAUCGUUUGAGGAGGCUUUUCUCUGAGUUGUGCUUUCUCUGACGGGGUUUUAGUUCAUAGUCUUGGCCUAUUUUCUAAGAGUGAGGUUUCGGGUACUUUGUGAAAAAAAAAAAAAAAAAAA